rnacentral:misc_RNA from 1 species
GAAAAAAAAAAUAUUUGAAAAGAAGAUAAAAAAAAAUUGGGGUUAAUCUAAGGGAGCAUUGACCCAAAAAUGCAAAUCUUUCUUUAAAGCAGCUCCAUUAUUAAUGGAAGUAGAUUUUGCUGGUCUUUUUGUCAGAACUGAAGUGAACUGGGUCUGAUUUGAAUGAAUAUUCUAUCAGUUCUAGUUCUGUUGCUUGCCUGAAUCUUACAGAUCACUCAAAGUUUGAAUAGUAAGGUAUUUAUCUGUUUCUAUAAAUGCUUUGAUUGGAGGGAAAACGAAACCCUUUUUGUCAUCUAAGCUUCAAUUUGUGCUACUUCUUAUUGGCAAGCUUUGAGAAAAGAGGAAAGAAGAGCUGAAUUAUGCUGCAGAAGGGGUAAGGGGAUUUAGAAUCCGACAAAGAUUGUAAGGAUAUUGAUGGACUACGCUAUUCUCUGAGGGCUUCCGGUUUUGUUGACAGGACACCAACAUGGUGAAUCACUGGUCUGAGCCUCAUCCACCUGAGAGCGACAUUCAGAACUCUAUCUGGACUGUGAAUAAUUCCGCUGCAGCACACCUAUUUGGUUGUUUUGCCAUAACACCUAUAAUUCUGUGAAUAGUACUUGUUUGUCGCAGAUAGACAAUUUUUAGUUUUCUGAAUUUGUAAGGAUUUCUUAAUGCAUUGAUGUUGAAAUAAUAUCACUUUGGUGACCGGUGUACUUGAAUGCAAAUAAUAACACUCAGACUUCUUAAUGCAAAUUUGUUUUGGGUAGAAGGAAUAGUUUGUCCAAAAGUUUCUGCCUGACGUUAUAUUGUGAAGUUGUAAUUAUAAUAUUGCUCUUCAUUUGGUGCCUUUGACACUUUCUUUUGAUAGCAAUGUACUUUGACGUUGGUUGGAAGGUUGAAGUGUGAUUUGAGUAUUCCUCAAUAAUCACAUUGUUAUUAUUUGUAUUUUAAUAUUCCUCCUCAAUAAUCUAUUUUUUGUUUUGUGGAUCUGCUACGUCAUUUUGAUCUUAUGAAUAAUUAUUUUUCUUUUGUUCAUAGAGAAUGGUGAUACUAUAAAAAAGGAACUAUUUGAUAUCUGUGCUGGUAUCACCCUUCCUUGUAGAGGGCAACAAGUUUAUUAUUUUCCACAAGGAUACAUAGAACAGUUUAUGAAUAAGGAGAUAGAGCUUCCAUUUGAACUUCCAUCUAAAAUCCUUUGUGAAGUGUCGAAUGCUUAUUAUAAGGCUAUACAAAAAACAGACCAAAUUGUUGGAGAAAUAACAUUGGCUCCUCUAACAAAUCGUAGAGAGGUCACUAGUAGCCCAAAUCCUCAACCCUUGGCUGCUGAAAGGCCUGCAGUUCAUUCAUAUCGUAUGAGACUUACUCGUUCCAACGUACAACCACAUGGUACUUUAUCUAUUAAAAAGGAUUUUGCGGAGAAAUGUCUACCUCCAUUGGAAAUCCUUGAGUCACAGGAGGAAGCACAUCAGUACUUGUUUGCAACUGAUCUACAAGGAAAGGAAUGGCGCUUCAAACAUGUUUUUAGG